rnacentral:rRNA from 1 species
UACGGAGGGAGCUAGCGUUGUUCGGAAUUACUGGGCGUAAAGCGCACGUAGGCGGCUUUGUAAGUUAGAGGUGAAAGCCCGGGGCUCAACUCCGGAACUGCCUUUAAGACUGCAUCGCUUGAAUCCAGGAGAGGUGAGUGGAAUUCCGAGUGUAGAGGUGAAAUUCGUAGAUAUCGGGAGGAACACCGGUGGCGAAGGCGGCGACCUGGGUAGAUACUGACGCUGAGGCGCGAAAGCGUGGGGAGCAAACAGG